rnacentral:rRNA from 1 species
UACAGAGGUCUCAAGCGUUGUUCGGAUUCAUUUGGGCGUAAAGGGUGUGUAGGUGGCGCCGUAAGUCGGGUGUGAAAUUUCGGAGCUUAACUCCGAACUGCAUUCGAUACUGCGGUGCUUGAGGACUGGAGAGGAGACUGGAAUUCAUGGUGUAGCAGUGAAAUGCGUAGAGAUCAUGAGGAAGACCAGUGGCGAAGGCGGGUCUCUGGACAGUCCUGACACUGAGACACGAAGGCCAGGGAGCAAACGGGAUUAGAGUACC